AUUUUUCUAAUACCAUCUCUACCUCCUCACUAUGAAUCCCCUCCCCAAGGGUAUUAGUAAUACCAAGGUAUUAGUAAUACCCUCCUUAUCUCUCAAAACAAACAAGGUAUUAGUAAUACCAAGGUAUUAGUUAGUCCCAAUGUAUUAAUAGUCCCAAGGCUAUCU